rnacentral:lncRNA from 1 species
UGCGUUUCUUUUUCUUUUUGCGUCUGUGUAUUUUUUUUUCUGGAAGAAUCACAUUAUUAAGAUUUUGAGUUGGGGGCUACAUGAUGGAGUUAUUAGGAUUAUUUUUAGAUUUAGGAUAGGGGUUAUAGAUUUAUUUGAUAAGAGAAUAUAAGUAAUGUUUUUUCAAAUUAAUUUUUAUGAACUUAUUAAUUUAUUAUAAAUUUUAAAUAAGAUUAUAAGGGUAUAGUAGUACAAUCAUAUGCUAAAGCUCUGCCGAAUUAGAGAG